rnacentral:rRNA from 1 species
AUCAGUAAGCGGAGGAAAAGAAACUAACAAGGAUUCCCUCAGUAGCGGCGAGCGAACAGGGAAGAGCUCAGCACCGAACCUCGCGCUCGGCAAAGCGGACGCAGAGGAAUGUGGUGUUCGGGAGGACCGUGCGAGUCUGUCCGGUAUUUAUCGUCCAAGUCUCCAUGAACGGGGCGAGCAACCCACAGAGGGUGUCAGGCCCGUAGACCAGACGAGCCGAGACCGUGCAUGGGGUCCCUUCCCAAGAGUCGGGUUGCUUGAGCGUGCAGCCCUAAGCGGGAGGUAAACUCCUUCUAAAGCUAAAUAUCGCCACGAGACCGAUAGCGAACAAGUACCGCGAGGGAAAGUUGAAAAGAACUUUGAAGAGAGAGUUCAAGAGUGCGUGAAACCGUUCAGGGGGUUAAACGGGUGGGCCCUCGAAGGUCGAACGUGCCACUGCUCCCGGCACUUGGUUGCAUGCCCUUCUGGAGCGAGACUUCCUCACCGGAGGCUCCUUUAGGAUCGCAUUAGCCGCGCUGAGGUCCGCAAGUGGGUGGCCUAGUAGGACUCCGCGACCGAUUGGGUGCGCUGUUAGAAGGGGCGUUCGUUAGCGAGCUUUGGUGGGCGCAAGCUUCCUCGGCGAGCGCGGCGUCUCCGAACAGUCCUGCCCGAUCGUGACCUGUCAUCUCGGCGCGAUCCCGGUCGACGCCGAGACCCAGAGCGGAGAGUAGAAGUCGGGUCCCACCCGACCCGUCUUGAAACACGGACCAAGGAGUCUAACAUGUGCGCGAGUCGUCGAGUCUAAACGAAACUCGCGAGGCGCAAUGAAAGUAAAGCGGCCCCGAUGAGGGUGUUCGCGAGGGGAGAUCCCGACUCGAACAGAGCGGGCGCAUCCCCAGGGCGUUCGAAGCCGCGAACUUAAGUCGGCCGGACGAACCCGGAGCGCACACGUUGGGACCCGAAAGAUGGUGACCUAUGCCUGGCCAGGACGAAGCCAGGGGAAACCCUGGUGGAGGUCCGCAGCGAUUCUGACGUGCAAAUCGAUCGUCGGAGUUGGGUAUAGGGGCGAAAGACUAAUCGAACCAUCNAGUAGCUGU